ensembl:lncRNA
GAAAGAUUUGUAGAAUAGACCCCAGUCACUGUCAGCCUCUGAACAGGCAACAAAAUACAUUAUAAUAUAUGUUUGGCUUUUUCAGUGUAAAAUUGUGAUAGAAAUGUAUUACUUCUGUACUGGUAUAGGCAGUGAGAGAUGUCUGAUCUGAACAUCUGAGGGCAAGGGCCAUGGUGCAUGAAGCACUUUUUCCUACUCCUGCAUAACACACUUUCAACAAAAGUAAACUGUAAAUCAGUCUAGCACUGUUUAAAGUGAAACAAAUAUAGGCAAGGUCUGAGUAGUUCCCAGGAUCUAAACCUGUGGAUCUGUGUGUCCUAAACAAUAAAUAGCCUACAGGGUUCUGGCAGUAGGAAUAUGCACACAGAUAUUCUGAGAGAGUUGAUGACCUUUCUCAAUUAUGUACAGCUUCAUUUUCUUACUUUGCUGUCUUGAUUAUAUAUUUAUUCACGUAUUCUGCAAGAAUAUUCUAAAAAGUCUUGGUUCAUUAUCAACCUUAUAUAUCUAAAAAGUGAGUAAUGAUCCCAAAGUACACUUGGUUUGCCUCUACAGAAUGCAAACAUCAAUGCAAAAGGAAGUUUAACUUUUUUCCCCUAAUCAGCAAAAUCAAUAAUUUUAAAAAUAGUUAUCAUCGUGCUACCCUAUAUACAGUAGGGAUGGUCAAGCAGUGUCAGACUAUUUAUAAACUGCUUUUCACUCACCCCUUACCCAUCUGACUAUGCAUCACUAUUCAAAUUUAUAUUCAAGAUUCUAAACCCUCAUUUUCUUCCAGGUGGCUCCUAGAUUCUUGUGCUAAAAUAUGCUCUACAAGCCUGUCUUGUUAUCAGUCCUUUUUUCUUUUCCUUUCACAAUACCUCUAUGCAAAUUUAUCUGUCUUACCUUAUCAAAAGACACUUUACUAAUUUCAAGAGUUUUAAAGUGUUGAGGUCUGAUACUUUCUUUUCUAAAAACAUAUAAAACAUAUCAAAAGCAACUGGAGAAGGCUUCACAUUUGCCAGCUCAUUAUUGGCAAAAAUGGUCUGUGCCACAAAUAGUCUGUUCACCAAGCCUGACCAGGGGAUAACCUGUCCCUAGUGACGUUGUCCCAAACCCCCACUAGCUUGAACUUCACAUAGCUCAUGAAUCAUCAUGUAUUUUGAUGCAUUUGGAAAUUUGAAAAAAAACGUGCAUAUUAAUUGUGGUAGUUCUGAAUACUCUUUGACCCAUGCAAAUCUACUGUCCCUAUUCACAAUCUGCUUUCACCCUCUGUGAUUUUAUAUUUUAUAUAUUCUUUGUAUCUUUUAUGUAUUUACCCAUUCCAGUACCACUGCACUGGCUUCUGGGAGCAGGUUAAAGUGAUACAUAUUUGUAGGUUGUUUCUUGUUAGCCCAAAGGGUAUGCAGAGAUGUCUGGUGGUGCUGAGGUGUUCAUAGUGCUGGCUGCCUUUUCUGACUCAUGCACUGCACUCCCAUGAUGCCCAAACACUUCUGUUUGGAAGCUGAGCUAAAGCAUGCAUGACAUUCAGGUUUUCAUUGAAUUAAAAACUUCAUUUAAUUAGGAUAUUCUUCCUUGUAGCAGGCACAGAUCACUUAUAGCAUCUGCACUUUUCUACUUUUACGUUUUUGAGCUGCCAGAAAGGUAUCGGGGAAAAUGCUAAUUUGUAAUGUCUGAUACUUGAGCAAUUUUGUACUUCAGUUUUUAAAGUAAGGCAGAGAUAAUGCAGUUGUGCUAUUUGUUGAAAACAAAUUGUGUGUAAAUGGGAAUUCUACACUAUGUUUAUUUCAUUUCAUACACCAUGGCACUGCAACUUGGCUGAGAUUGAGCAUCACAGUAUUUGAUGUCACUGACAGUUCACAAUCUUAACUGGCAAACUCAUUACCUAUGCUGUAAGUCCCCAUUUGAGACUUUGCUCUUCACCACUCACACUGCACAUUCAAAAUAUAACAUAGAUUGUAUUUUUUUUUCCCCAAGAAAUAUCAUUGUAGUUCUUUCCAGAUGCAUUCCUAGAUGUGCUUGAGGAUGCUUUGCUUAAUUUUAGACAUCAAGAUGGCUCAAGAGAGCAAAUCCCUGUCAGGGGAUGUUUAAUGGAAGGAGCACAGGGAUUGUUUAAUGGAAGGUAACAUGGGAAAACAUUAAGUGCUACUUAUUUCAUGGCCUAGUCCAACAUGUGCUGUAUGGUGUGUAUAUUGUACCAAUACAUCUCCAUGCACUGUGUAUAUCUCAGAAGGAUAUGUGUGACUCUACUGUGCAUGCACAUACAAAGAGAUGUACUACAUUCAGAGCAAUGUUUACAGAUGUAUGUACAAACUUAUGCUAAAAUUAUCAGCCAUGGUAAACAUUGCCUUUGAUGCCUCAUCAGCUGUAACUGGACAGUGAAACUGUGCUUUAGUCUCUUCUGCUUAUCUGCAAGAAAAGUUUCCACAUCUUUCCUUAGUGCAAAAUCUUUCCAAUUUUUACAAUUGCAUUGUCCUUAUUUCUGGAGAUGGUGUUUUCAGUGUAUUGAUCUGGCUUUUUAGACAAUACACAAAAUUUAGAAAUGCACAAACAUAUUUCAUUUACUGAGCUAUUGCAUCAAGGCUGCACUAGAUUUAACUCCAUUACAUUACCCAAACUCAAACUGGCUUUUUUUCAAAUAUGAAAAAAAGGCUUCAGAGUAGAUUCUAUCUAGGUUCAUGUAAGAGGAACUCCUAUGUCCAUGUGAACAUCACUGCCAGUUUCUCAAAAUUGAAAGAGAAAUCCAGUCACUAUGAAAACAGUUGGAGGCAACUGUUACAAUCACAGCAAGUCACCACUGCAAAGUCUUUGAGGUAAGAACAGCACUUCUUCCAUUAGAAAUGAGAAGAAAUAAAAAAUUACCAUCCUCCCUCAUCUCAUCCUAUUGCUCUGCCCUUUCUUUUGCAUAGUAUAAUGCUUUCCAUUUACCAGUCUCAUGGGUGGAAUUUUGCAAGAUUUAAAAACCUCAUUUGCCUGGUAAGACUAAGAAAUACCCACUAUAUCUAGAUCAUUCACCCCCUUCUGAGUUUUCAAACAAUAAAUCCUUGACUGUGUGAUGCAGGCUUAAGGUAGUGUCUUAUGAAAAUUACAAUAAAACCAUUCAAUCUAACAGUGGUGAGGAGAGGUAAAUUUUUUCCCAGCUAGUGAAGCUGUAAAAUUUAUGUAACUUGGCAGAAAGUGUGGAAAAAAACCCAAGACAUUUAAAGGCUUUAUAGAUGUGUACAUCCUCCUUACAUAAGGGUGAACAAACACAUGUAAACAGUGCCCAAAAAAGUUCAGUGUAUGAAUGACUCUGUGAGCCAUCACCAUCAGCUACACUGUUGGCAGAGCACCCUGACACCCCACUCAGGCCUCUGUGAAGAGAUCCUUUUUAUAGCACACUAGGACUAAAUAGUAAGGCCUUAAUAUGUAAGCAGGGCUUGUUUGUCUGGGUACAUAUGCAUUUUCCAGGAAUUUGGUGGGAGAUUCUUUCUUGCUCCUGCACCAAAGUUAUUUCGUGCAUUUUCUGGAAUGAAAGCACUCUCGAAAUGAUCUGGUAAUCAUCACUCAACCAUGCCUAACAAUCAGAGAAGCACAGGAUGUUAUUGUGCCAAGAGAACUUAACAUUUAUUUUUCAAUUAAUUCAUACAGGCAUAGUUAAUAUACUGAAAAUACUCAAAAGAUCUGAACAUUUUUACACUAUCAUGGAAAUAAAGUCUCUGGACAAGAAUCAGAUUCCCUAUGUAGUUUCAAAACAUCCAGUCUUCUUGAGCCUAUUUUUCUUCUGUAUUGAAAUCUUUGGGUAACAAAACAACUGGAGUCAUUUCUGAAAUACUACCUACUCUACAGAUGCCAAAGGGAUGAGGAAAUGGCCAAAGGGUCUUCCUUAAAUUGUGCUUAAUGUGUCUACAUCAAGAAUUAUAAUUACAAUUGUGGCACAGACUAAUUAACACCAUGGGGGAAAGCAAAUAAGCCAAUUUUCUUUGAACCCUACACAGUGCUGCACUAUGCUUAUGCAGAUACAUCACAAGAAAUAGGCCUGUGCUGUAUUUCCUGAUGCUCAGUACUUUUAUCCCCUCAUUACUUUUAUUCUUCCCAUAGAUCACUCCCCUCCUAUUGAACAUACCCAUCACAUAUAUUUAUUGAAUAUAACUAUUGAAUACCCUCUGCCAUCAAUAUAUAAAUAUGUAAUUUCUUUGCAUCUGCAAAGCUAUAUGAAAUCAGAUACUGCUGGAGUUAAACAGCUUUUAUCCUCAAUUGGCAUGUAGUUUUCUGAUUCAGAAGUACAUCCCAUUUGCUUGCUUCAUAUCUCCAUUGAUGAUGUUUAUUUAACAAGUGCUAUUAGGACAAAAACUUUCCACUUUUCAGGCUGUAGAAGUACAUCUGAGUAAAUGUUUCAUUCCUUUAUUCAAAAUGAAUGUGAUUUCUUGGCCAUAGGGUAAUCUGAACAAAAUCUUCUGUGGAAAGGAGAGAACAGCAUUUAUCCCCUGCUCUGCCCCUGCACUUUACCAAGUAUGAUGGAAGGUCCUUUCAGGUCCUUUCACUUGUUUUCAAAACAGUACAGCUACAUUACAUAGUUGCAUAUUUCUCCUACUGUGAGACAAGAUCAGCAUGAAAAAUACCAAGAGACUUAAACUAAUGUGCAUACAUGCCACUUUUGGUUUUGUUUGAUUUUGGUUUUUAGUCCUUGCAAUGCAUAUCGACUGAUACAGAAUCCAUCGUUAGAGGUGAAAUAUAAAGACUGAGGAUGGACAGCUGUUCUCCAAAUCAAGCUGCAUAGGGAUGGAUCAUUGAAAUCUAUGUAUUAAGUGCACACAAGAGCUCUUAGUUAAAGCUAUAAAAAGCCUGAAAUACAACUAAUUGCCUUGCAAAAAAAAGGUAAGAAAAUGAUAAAUAUAAUGUGAAGUUUUGUAGUUGUAAGCUGUAGAUGUUAGAUGACAAUGAAGAUGUUGGUUUUUUUGAUAUGAACUAUCCCUGGUUUUCUAGAGGUGUCCCAUCACCCAGUUGCUUCUCAACCCAAUUCCACCUGUCUCAAAGCUGACCAGCAGUCAUGGGACUUCUGCCUCACAGGAAGUUGGAAUUGAACUCCUGCCCCUGCCACCCCAAGCAGGAAGGGUGUGGGCCACACCAGUCAAGUUGUUACAAGAAAGAGCCAUAAGCUUCCUGCUUCUAUUUGGAGAUAGCGAGUAUUUUUGUGAUAGAAAUAGAGAUAACAUUGCAGGAAUCUGAUGAACAUAUUUUAUGUGUUUCCUGAUAUGUUACUAUUACUUGAAAGCAUUCUGUUCUGCUGGUUAUGGAGUAAACAAGUCCCAGAGACAAUAUCUGAACACAUACUUUUAAGGCUUUAAAAUUUUAAAUAGGUUUACUUUUGCCUGUAGAUUUCUGAUUUUGAAAUAUAUGAAGAAAUUGCAUGCUGUAAUUAAUCAUCUUAGAAACCAAUCUCAUGAAAAGGAAUUUGUAAUUUAAUGCCUUAUAAAACUGAUUUUCUUCAAAACCAGUGGAGCUGAAUGUACAGUAAACUCAUAAAAUAACAGGAAACAGUAGGAAAGAGCCCCUCAACUUCUGCUGUGUACAAAGACAGUGCUUGAGCAUUCACUCAAAAUCUGGUGUCUAUUGAUCUAGUCGUAGCUACCCAUUCAGGUACUAGACAGAAUAUUAGCAUUUUUUAAAUUAUUGGCCAAGUUGAUCUUUGUUUGCUAACACCUGCCUUACUCUGCAGCAAUUUUUCUGCCAUGUAAUUAAAUUCUAUGUCUUGUUAAACUCUCAUAAAUUAUAAUUGGCCCUAGUUCAUAUUGGAAGCAGUUUGCAAGACACUAGCACAGUAAUUGGAAGAGUAGAGGCAGAUAAGGAUGAAGAGCAAUCGUUUUCCUUGGCUUCAGAAUUUUAGAGGAACCUUCCCUUUUGCAGUUAAUAAAAAUGAGAGUAAGAGAUGUACUGAGAGUGAUUCAAAUGCUUUACUCUCCCCUCUGGCAUGACUGCCACCAUUGCAGUCCUGAGGGCAGGAUAUGGAUGGCUGUGUGUUGGUAGAAAAAUCAAUAUAUCAGUAGAGGUCAAGAGUCCCACAAGAGCUCACAUUUCUCCUUUCACCAC